ACCAGAAGCCGGUGACCCGACCGCAAGGAGGGAGCCGUCCAAGGUUUGACCGGUGAUUGGGGUGAAGUCGUAACAAGGUAGCCGUAGGUGAACCUGCAGAAGGAUCA
rnacentral:rRNA from 1 species